rnacentral:rRNA from 1 species
AUUGAACGCUGGCGGAAUGCUUUACACAUGCAAGUCGAACGGCAGCACGGGGCAACCUGGUGGCGAGUGGCGAACGGGUGAGUAAUACAUCGGAACGUGCCCAAUCGUGGGGGAUAACGUAGCGAAAGUUACGCUAAUACCGCAUACGAUCUACGGAUGAAAGCGGGGGAUCGCAAGACCUCGCGCGAAUGGAGCGGCCGAUGUCAGAUUAGGUAGUUGGUGGGGUAAAGGCUCACCAAGCCAACGAUCUGUAGCUGGUCUGAGAGGACGACCAGCCACACUGGAACUGAGACACGGUCCAGACUCCUACGGGAGGCAGCAGUGGGGAAUUUUGGACAAUGGGCGCAAGCCUGAUCCAGCCAUUCCGCGUGCAGGAUGAAGGCCUUCGGGUUGUAAACUGCUUUUGUACGGAACGAAACGGUCUGCCCUAAUACGGCGGGCUAAUGACGUACCGUAAGAAUAAGCACCGGCUAACUACGUGCCAGCAGCCGCGGUAAAGCUACGU